GCCUAGUUAGCUUAGUUGGUAGUGCGUCUGCCUUGUAAGCGCAAGGCCGCGGGUUCGAUUCCCGCCAGGGGCG
rfam:Asian citrus Psyllid, Diaphorina citri - Florida Strain, whole genome shotgun sequence.